GCUCCUUUUGCGUCAGUCAAAGACAUGACUUUUGUUUCCAGAAUUGUGCCAUCGCCAAUCCAUUGGUUUAUCAAACCUUCGAUUUCUUCGAGUUCCUUGUCUUGAAGAGAUCGAUGGAAGUUGAAGUCAAAUCUAAGACGAUCAAAAGCAACCAUUGAUCCUGCUUGAGAUGUUUCCUGACCAAUUACUCUUUUGAGUGCUGAUUGAAGUAAAUGAGUAGCUGUAUGGUGAACCUUAGCCCGCUGUCUCAAGUUUGCAUCAACAGCAGCUUCUACUUCUCGGCCAACCUCUAUAGUACCUUCUGUGAUUGUCCCUUUAUGGACAAAUAUAUUACCCAUAGAUUUUUGGACAUCUUUUAUUUCUACAAUAGCUUUCUGUCCAUUUUCAGCCUCCAUCAUGUAUAGAAAACCGUUAUCCCCA
rnacentral:misc_RNA from 1 species